UACGUAAGGGGCAAGCGUUAUCCGGAAUUAUUGGGCGUAAAGCGUCCGCAGGCGGUGUGAAAAGUCAGUUAUUAAAUACCAGAGCUCAACUCUGGUGCUGUAACCGAAACUUUCACGCUAGAGUAUGACAGAGGCAAGUAGAAUGCUGCAAGUAGGGGUAAAAUCCGUAGAUAUGCAGUGGAAUACCAAAAGCGAAGGCAGCUUGCUGGGUCAUUACUGACGCUCAUGGACGAAAGCGUGGGGAGCAAAACGG
rnacentral:rRNA from 1 species